rnacentral:rRNA from 1 species
CACUGACGUCGCGACGCAUAUCAAUAAGCGGAGGAAAAGAAACUAACAAGGAUUCCCUUAGUAACGGCGAGUGAAGCGGGAAGAGCUCAAAUUUGAAAUCUUCAAGGUUCUACCUUGACGAAUUGUAGUUUAAAGAAGUGUUUUCUGUUAGUGGAGUGGCAAAAGUUCUUUGGAAUAGGACAUCAUAGAGGGUGAGAAUCCCGUAUUUGGUCAUUCCUUCUAGCUUUGUGAUACACUUUCAAAGAGUCGGAUUGUUUGGGAAUGCAGUCCAAAAUGGGUGGUAAAUUUCAUCUAAAGCUAAAUAUUGGCGAGAGACGGAUAGUGAACAAGUACCGUGAGGGAAAGAUGAAAAGAACUUUGAAAAGAGAGUUAAACAGUACGUGAAAUUGUCAAAAGGGAAGCGUUUGACACCAGUGUUGUUUUUCCGAAAAUCAAUUACGAAUGGCUUGAUUUUGUGUUGUAUUGACCUUAUCAGCUUUCUGCACUUUUUUCGAGUCUUUCUUAAUGCACUUUUCGGUUAACAAGUCAACAUCAAUUUCUUUUGUUGUAAAAGAGUAUUCGGAAGGUGGCUUUCUUUUCGGAGGAAGUGUUUAUAGCCCUAUACUUCUACAAUCGGAGAGAUUGAGGUCUGCAGCGUAGAUCCUUCGGGGUUAGAUACACUUGUGCUAAGUUAUAGCCUUUCAUAGACAACUUGUUGACUAUGAUCAGUCAUGUAGCUUACUCGCUUAUGCUAUUUUACCUACGCUUAGGAUGUUGAGUCGUAGAGCACGCAG